rnacentral:rRNA from 2 species
AAAAGAAACUAACAAGGAUUCCCCUAGUAACUGCGAGUGAAGCGGGAAAAGCUCAAAUUUAAAAUCUGGUGGUCCUCGCGGCCGUCCGAGUUGUAAUCUGGAGAAGUGUUUUCCGCGCUGGACCGUGUACAAGUCUCCUGGAACGGAGCGUCAUAGAGGGUGAGAAUCCCGUCUUUGACACGGACUACCAGUGCUUUUGUGAUACGCUCUCAACGAGUCGAGUUGUUUGGGAAUGCAGCUCAAAAUGGGUGGUAAAUUCCAUCUAAAGCUAAAUAUUGGCGAGAGACCGAUAGCGAACAAGUACCGUGAGGGAAAGAUGAAAAGAACUUUGGAAAGAGAGUUAAACAGUACGUGAAAUUGUUAAAAGGGAAACGCUUGAAGUCAGUCGCGUCGUCCGGGGAUCAACCUUGCAUUUAUGCUGGGCGUACUUUCCGGUUGACGGGUCAGCAUCAAUUUUGACCGUUGGAUAAAGUUCAGGGGAAUGUGGCAUCUUCGGAUGUGUUAUAGCCCUUGUUCGCAUACAACGAUUGGGAUUGAGGAACUCAGCACGCCUUUAUGGUCGGGGUUUACCCACGUAACGUGCUUAGGAUGCUGGCAUAAUGGCUUUAAUCGACCCGUCUUGAAACACGGACCAAGGAGUCUAACAUGCCCGCGAGUGUUUGGGUGGAAAACCCGAGCGCGUAAUGAAAGUGAAAGUUGAGAUCCCUGUCGUGGGGAGCAUCGACGCCCGGACCAGACGUUCUCUGACGGUUCCGCGGUAGAGCGUGUAUGUUGGGACCCGAAAGAUGGUGAACUAUGCCUGAAUAGGGUGAAGCCAGAGGAAACUCUGGUGGAGGCUCGUAGCGAUUCUGACGUGCAAAUCGAUCGUCGAA